CAUUAAAUGUCCGAAAUAGGUAAUAGACUUUUAAUCUAUUUAUGAUAAAAAUUAUCUUUAAUGA
rnacentral:tRNA from 1 species